UUACCGCUGGAACUAAGCAUAUCAAUAAGCGGAGGAAAAGAAACUAACAAGGAUUCCCCUAGUAACUGCGAGUGAAGCGGGAAAAGCUCAAAUUUAAAAUCUGGCGGUCUCUGGCCGUCCGAGUUGUAAUCUAGAGAAGUAAUGCCCGUGCUGGACCGUGUAUAAGUCUCCUGGGAUGGGGCGUCAUAGAGGGUGAGAAUCCCGUCUUUGACACGGACUACCAGUGCAUUGUGGUAUGCUCUCAAAGAGUCGAGUUGUUUGGGAAUGCAGCUCAAAAUGGGUGGUAAAUUCCAUCUAAAGCUAAAUAUUGGCGAGAGACCGAUAGCGAACAAGUACCGUGAGGGAAAGAUGAAAAGAACUUUGGAAAGAGAGUUAAACAGUACGUGAAAUUGCUGAAAGGGAAACGCUUGAAGUCAGUCGCGUUGGCCGGGGAUCAGCCUUGCUUUUGCAUGGUGUACUUUCUGGUUGAYGGGUCAGCAUCAAUUUUGACCGCUGGAAAAAGACCUGGGGAAUGUGGCAGCUUCGGCUGUGUUAUAGCCCCUAGUCGCAUACAGUGGUUGGGAUUGAGGAACUCAGCACGCCGCAAGGCCGGGUUUCGACCACGUUCGUGCUUAGGAUGCUGGCAUAAUGGCUUUAAGCGACCCGUCUUGAAACACGGACCAAGGAGUCUAACAUGCCUGCGAGUAUUUGGGUGGAAAACCCAAGUGCGUAAUGAAAGUGAAAGUUGAGAUCCCUGUCGUGGGGAGCAUCGACGCCCGGACCAGAACUUUUGGGACGGAUCCGCGGUGGAGCAUGUAUGUUGGGACCCGAAAGAUGGUGAACUAUGCCUGAAUAGGGUGAAGCCAGAGGAAACUCUGGUGGAGGCUCGUAGCGAUUCUGACGUGCAAAUCGAUCGUCAAAUUUGGGUAUAGGGGCGAAAGACUAAUCGAACCAUCUAGUAGCUGGUUCCUGCGAUUUUCC
rnacentral:rRNA from 1 species